UGCCGGCCGCGCCGCGCAGCCUCCGGCCGCGCCGGCUGCUCGGUUACGCGCCGUGGGGGGAGGGGGGAGGGGGGAGAAAACGCGAGGCCGUGCACGGCGCCGGGAGCGCGCAAUGCCCGCCUGGCGAGGGACCGCGUUCCCGGUGCCUUGCCCUUCGCUCCGCGGCCGGCCUCGCGGGGCUGAGGGGGAAACUGUUUGCCAAGUGUCUUUUAUUUUAUUUUAUUAAAAUUCUUUUUAUUUCAUUUUAUUUCAUUUUACUUUAUUUCAUCUCAUUCCAUUUUAAAGAGCACCGACAUAUAAAAGAGCGGGAGCUGAUAACGGGGGUCAAGGCGCUUUCGUAGCCCCUGUCGUUUGCCUCCCGCCUCGCCCCGCCACGGCGUGCCCCGCGCAGGGUCCCGGCACGGUCCCGGGCAUCUCCAGCCGCAUCCCCAGCCCCAGCCGUGCCCGGGGUCCCCGUCCUGGCUGCCCGGCACCCGCUCUACCCCGCUGCGCAACGGGCACGCAUAGGGCCGGCAGCCGGGGGGGGGGAAGUGAAAAUGGCAAUAAAGCAGGGCAAAACGAGUGUCACAUGGUGCCGGUAAUUUAUAGCAAAUGUAACUGGGAAAUGCAGAAAAGGGAAGAAAGGAAAACACAAGAAAGGCAGAACAAUUGAGGCGAAUCCUGUUGCAACCUCGAUGAUAAACACAUGGAAAAAGCUGUUACUGCUCUGUGGAUUGCUGGAAUUUGGGUAGACAUUAGAAAAAUAAACAAAGCGAUGGCUCCGCACCAGCUCUGUAAAAACACCGGUACAUUCAAGGAAAGGUAACUUCUUAAAAUUAAUUGCAUUUUCCUGAAUAUUCGCUAUUUGCCUUUAUCUACAUCGAUCGUUUGAUAAAGAUCGAAACUAUUAAAAACGUACUUACACCUUUCAUUGUUCAUUUCCGAAAAUAAAUUCAUUUUUAGCCUUUUUUUUCUGAUAUUUUGGUAUGCAUUGCCUGAUUUUUUUUUCCUCCAUAAUCGUCAGAAUAAAGCCUAUAGCAUCAUUCUAAUGGGGAUCCGACACACGCAAAACAUUUGCUCAAUGUGAAGUCUGUUCAGAAGCGCUGUUAUUUUUGUUGUAGCCUCUGCUCUUAUCACAUCACCCCUCUUUGAAAUGAUUUUUUUACAGCUGAAAAAUAAUUUGUUGUUGUUAAACUAUUUCCAGGAUAUGGUGGCAAAGAAGGGAGAAGCUGCUGAUUUAGGGACGCUGGACCUGAAACGUUACCAAUGGAUCUUUACACCUUCAAUGAAUCCGCAAAUCGAUGCGAGCUGGGCACCCGCGGCUGAACCCAAUCAGACUCAGAUUUUUGAAGUUAUUCCCUCCAAACGCAAAAGUUUACACGAAGCCUUUAAGCGGCGGGAUGCAACCCCGCCGACCCUCCCCACCCUACCGCUCCCCCCAGGAGGGAGAAGGGACAGGGUUUAGGACAGGGACAUGCGACCUAAAAUCCCCUAACCCCUUAUUUUCGCCCAGCGGAGCCGCUUCUCCCCGCUGCUCCGACCGCCAUCCGUUUCAGCCGCGGGUUGCUGGCGGCGGGGGCGAGCGGGCGGCUCUCCCCCCGGCCCUGGGAGCGCGCUCCCGCGGGGAGCGGCACUGCGCGGGCACUGCGCGGGGCGCGCAGGUAGGCGCCGCUGGAGCCGCGCCGCCCGCUCCCCCGCCGUGGCCCCGCAGUGACCCCAGCCCGGGGCUGCGGGGAGGUGAGAGGUGACGCCGUGAGCCAGCGCAGCCCUGGCCCUUUUAAAGCCACAGCUAAUCAGUCCUCCGCUAAAUUAAAACCUGGGAAGCCGAGGGGAAGCAAUUUCGUUGUGAAGAAUUACGGGGCGCGCACCGGCACGGAGGGGGCACGGCAAGGAGGGCUGCUCACAGCUCGGGGGACGGGGGGCUGCGAAAUGCCCGGCACGCCGUGGGGAUCCGGUGGAUCUUCGUGGAUAUGGGAUCGCACGCACGCACCCCAAUAAAAGCCCGGUUUUCCGCUGGAAAACUUCAGUCCCAUAAAGCGUGCGGCGGGCUGGGGAGCGCAGGACGCCCUGCGCUGGGUGGUUUAAUUGCCUCCCUCGCCAAGGGCUCGGCGUUUCAUUAGGGCACGUGAAGAAAUUAAAGUGGAAAAAAAGUGACAAAUUUUCCUGUCAGUUCA